rnacentral:misc_RNA from 1 species
UCGUAACAAGGUCUCCGUUGGUGAACCAGCGGAGGGAUCAUUACCGAGUUAUACAACUCCCAAACCCACUGUGAACCUUACCUCAGUUGCCUCGGCGGGAACGCCCCGGCCGCCUGCCCCCGCGCCGGCGCCGGACCCAGGCGCCCGCCGCAGGGACCCCAAACUCUCUUGCAUUACGCCCAGCGGGCGGAAUUUCUUCUCUGAGUUGCACAAGCAAAAACAAAUGAAUCAAAACUUUCAACAACGGAUCUCUUGGUUCUGGCAUCGAUGAAGAACGCAGCGAAAUGCGAUAAGUAAUGUGAAUUGCAGAAUUCAGUGAAUCAUCGAAUCUUUGAACGCACAUUGCGCCCGCCAGCAUUCUGGCGGGCAUGCCUGUUCGAGCGUCAUUUCAACCCUCGAGCCCCCCCGGGGGCCUCGGUGUUGGGGGACGGCACACCAGCCGCCCCCGAAAUGCAGUGGCGACCCCGCCGCAGCCUCCCCUGCGUAGUAGCACACACCUCGCACCGGAGCGCGGAGGCGGUCACGCCGUAAAACGCCCAACUUUCUUAGAGUUGACCUCGGAUCAGGUAGGAAUACCCGCUGAACCUAAGCAUA